rnacentral:rRNA from 1 species
ANNCCNAGGNUANAGCUUACAAUGCAAGUCGAACGGUGAUGACAGGGCUUGCCUUGUCUGAUCAGUGGCGAACGGGUGAGUAACACGUGAGUAACCUGCCCCAGACUCUGGGAUAACCCCGGGAAACCGGAGCUAAUACCGGAUAUGACACCAACGGGCAUCCGUAUGGUGUGGAAAGUUUUUCGGUCUGGGAUGGACUCGCGGCCUAUCAGCUUGUUGGUGAGGUAGUGGCUCACCAAGGCGACGACGGGUAGCCGGCCUGAGAGGGCGACCGGCCACACUGGGACUGAGACACGGCCCAGACUCCUACGGGAGGCAGCAGUGGGGAAUAUUGCACAAUGGGCGAAAGCCUGAUGCAGCGACGCCGCGUGAGGGAUGACGGCCUUCGGGUUGUAAACCUCUUUCAGCAGGGAAGAAGCGCAAGUGACGGUACCUGCAGAAGAAGCACCGGCUAACUACGUGCCAGCAGCCGCGGUAAUACGUAGGGUGCGAGCGUUGUCCGGAAUUAUUGGGCGUAAAGAGCUUGUAGGUGGUUUGUCGCGUCUGCUGUGAAAAUCCGAGGCUCAACCUCGGACUUGCAGUGGGUACGGGCAGACUAGAGUGUGGUAGGGGAGACUGGAAUUCCUGGUGUAGCGGUGGAAUGCGCAGAUAUCAGGAGGAACACCGAUGGCGAAGGCAGGUCUCUGGGCCAUUACUGACACUGAGAAGCGAAAGCAUGGGGAGCGAACAGGAUUAGAUACCCUGGUAGUCCAUGCCGUAAACGUUGGGAACUAGGUGUGGGUCUCAUUCCACGAGAUCCGUGCCGCAGCUAACGCAUUAAGUUCCCCGCCUGGGGAGUACGGCCGCAAGGCUAAAACUCAAAGGAAUUGACGGGGGCCCGCACAAGCGGCGGAGCAUGCGGAUUAAUUCGAUGCAACGCGAAGAACCUUACCAAGGCUUGACAUACACCGGAAUCACUCAGAGAUGGGUGCGUCUUCGGACUGGUGUACAGGUGGUGCAUGGUUGUCGUCAGCUCGUGUCGUGAGAUGUUGGGUUAAGUCCCGCAACGAGCGCAACCCUCGUUCUAUGUUGCCAGCACGUCAUGGUGGGGACUCAUAGAGACUGCCGGGGUCACUCGGANGAGGUGGGGAUGACGUCAAAUCAUCAUGCCCUUAUGUCUGGGCUUCACGCCAUGCUACAUNNNNAANAANNCNGGCNNNNNNNGNGANNAUCCAAAAACGNCUCANNCGNAAUNNGGGUUCNUGUCCACACCNCUNNNA